rnacentral:rRNA from 1 species
AGCAGCCGCGGUAAUUCCAGCUCCAAUAGCGUAUAUUAAAGUUGUUGCAGUUAAAAAGCUCGUAGUUGAAUUUCGGGGUUAGUAGGUUGGUCAUGCCUCUGGUAUGUACUGGUCUCACUGAUUCCUCCUUCCUGAUGAACCGUAAUGCCAUUAAUUUGGUGUUGCGGGGAAUUUGGACUGUUACUUUGAAAAAAUUAGAGUGUUUAAAGCAGGCUCACGCUUGAAUACAUUAGCAUGGAAUAAUGAAAUAGGACGUUUGAUUCUAUUUUGUUGGUUUCUAGGAUCGACGUAAUGAUUAAUAGGGAUAGUUGGGGGCAUUAGUAUUCAAUUGUCAGAGGUGAAAUUCUUGGAUUUAUUGAAGACUAACUACUGCGAAAGCAUUUGCCAAGGAUGUUUUCAUUAAUCAAGAACGAAAGUUAGGGGAUCGAAGACGAUCAGAUACCGUCGUAGUCUUAACCAUAAACUAUGCCGACUAGGGAUCGGAUGAUGUUAAUUUUUUAAUGACUCAUUCGGCGCCUUA